UACAGAGGUCCCGAGCGUUGUUCGGAUUUAUUGGGCGUAAAGGGUGCGUAGGCGGCGGUGUAAGUUGGGUGUGAAAUCCCGGGGCUUAACCUCGGAAUUGCAUUCAAUACUGCUUCGCUUGAGUACUGGAGAGGAGGCUGGAAUUUACGGUGUAGCAGUGAAAUGCGCAGAUAUCAGGAGGAACACCGGUGGCGAAGGCGGGUCUCUGGGCCGAUAUUGACGCUGAGGAGCGAAAGCGUGGGGAGCAAACAGG
rnacentral:rRNA from 1 species